UGCCAGCCGCCGCGGUAAUACGGGGGGGGCAAGCGUUGUUCGGAAUUAUUGGGCGUAAAGGGCGCGUAGGCGGCCAAACAAGUCUGUUGUGAAAGCCCUCGGCUCAACCGAGGAAUUGCAAUGGAAACUGUCUGGCUUGAAUCCCGGAGAGGGUGGCGGAAUUCCCAGUGUAGCGGUGAAAUGCGUAGAUAUUGGGAGGAACACCUGUGGCGAAGGCGGCCACCUGGACGGGUAUUGACGCUGAGGUGCGAAAGCGUGGGGAGCAAACAGGAUUAGAUA
rnacentral:rRNA from 1 species